AGAUCCACCUCUCAUCAUCCAAUAGUGUCUCUCUCCCUUUCUCUCCUACACCAUCUCCCCUCAUCUCCCCCAUGGCACCAUCUUCUCCCUCCGCCUGUCUCCUCCAAACCACCCAUCUCAGAACCUUCCUCAUAAUCUCUCUUCUGGUCUUUGUGCCCCCCAUUCAUGCGCUGAAACUCCCAAUUUGGCCGCGGGACAGACAGCUCUCAAGGCCGAUUCUCAACUCCCUCCACAGCGCAGUGGACCUUCUGCCCACUUUUGUGGGCUCUGUCUCCUCCAACGAGACUGUCGAGUGGACAGGAACGUGCUUUUACAAGACCAGUGCUUGGAUGGAGUUCAACAACAAAAGUGGGAGCGAAUUUGGUGGGGGCACACUUCAUAUUAAGGUUAGUAAUGCGCAUAGUUGGAAGUGUAUGGACCUUUAUGUCUUUGCAACUCCAUACCAAGUGACAUGGGAUUACUACUUUUUGUCUCGGGAGCAUACCGUUCAAUUUGAUGCAUGGGAAGAAAAAGCUGAGUUUGAAUACGUGAAAAACGAAGGGGUUUCAGUUUUUCUCAUGCACGCUGGGAUGCGGGGAACCCUUGAAGCUCUCUGGGAUGUCUUCCCAUUAUUCACAAAUACUGAAUGGGGUGAGAACGCAAACCUUGGGUUUCUCAAGAAGCAUAUGGGGGCUUCAUUUCAAACACGUCCUCAGCCAUGGGUUACAAACAUUAGUGUUGAUGACAUUCACUCUGGAGAUUUCCUUGCAAUAUCAAAAAUUCGUGGACGGUGGGGUGGUUUUGAGACUCUAGAGAAGUGGGUCACGGGAUCUUAUGCUGGUCAUUCCGCAGUUUGCUUAAGGGAUUCUGAAGGGAAGCUAUGGGUUGGUGAAUCAGGACAUAGAAAUGAAAAGGGAGAAGAUGUUAUUGUAACAUUACCAUGGGACGAAUGGUGGGAUGAUGCACUAACUCAAGAUGAUUCCAAUUCUCAUAUUGCGUUGCUUCCUUUGCAUCCUCACCUCCGAGCCAAGUUUAAUGAGACAGCUGCCUGGGAGUAUGCACGUAGCAUGGAAGGCAAACCUUAUGGUUACCAUAACAUGAUAUUUAGCUGGAUAGAUGCUCUGGAUGAAAACUAUCCACCCCCCUUAGAUGCUCAUGUGGUUGCUGCAGGUAUGACAGUUUGGAAUCAAAUGUGGCCUGCAUAUGCUGCUAACUUAUGGAAUGAGGCCUUGAACAAGAGGCUUGGAACUCAGAACCUUUCUCUUCCUGAGAUUCUAAUUGAAACUGAAACGCGUGGAUCGUCAUUUGCUGAAUUGCUGACAAUUCCUGAGCAGGAUGAUUGGGUUUACACUGAUGGAAAGUCAACAUCUUGUGUUGCUUUCAUUCUGGAAAUGUAUAAGGAGGCAGGAUUAUUUGGUCCAAUUGCUAGCUCUAUUCAAGGAACUGAGUUCACGAAUGACAUUCGCAAGAACCCUGCUUUCAGAUCACAGUUCCAUGAGAUGUGCGCUAAAGUAGGAGUAGACCCCUUGGCAUUGAAUAAAGGAUUUUGGGUAGAGCUAUUAGGAAUUGGUGACUUCUAUUAUGAACUUGGUGUGCAAAUUGUUGACAUAUGCUUAGCGACAAGAGUUCACAAUGGAGGUUUCAUUGACUUGCAGGAACUGUGCAAUUUGCUUUGCCAGAGACGUAAAAGUUGCUCAUGGAGCUGUAUCUGAGGAUGACUGCUUGCGUGCCAUAAGUAAGCUGAAGGUAUUGGGUAGUGGUUUUGAGGUGAUAUCUGUUGGAAAGCGAAAGCUUGUUAGGUCUGUCCCUACAGAGUUGAACAAAGACCAUAAUUCAAUUCUAGAGCUGGCUCAGGCUCAAGGCUUUGUUACUAUUGAAGAGGUGGAAGGACGGCUCUCCUGGCCCUCUGGGCGCGCCACUGAUGCCCUUGAAACUUUAUUGGACGAAGGUCUUGCAAUGAUUGAUAAUGGUCACAGAGAUGGCAAACGCCGGUACUGGUUUCCCUGUGCAUCUUCACUCUCUGCUGUAGGAGCUGAUAUUCUCAAGAUUUGAUUUUUCAGCACCAUGUUUUCUGCCCUGGGCAUUGUCUGGUAAAAGGGUGUGUAUGGGAUAGGUCUAGCAUUGGAAUCCAGUAUUUUUGUUUAUUUAUCAGGAAAAAAUGCAAAAAAAUAAAAAUAAAAACCCCAUUUGUGAUAUAGACAUUUGAUGUGGGGACCUGAAAGGAAAAAAAGGGUGUUUGUUCCACCCCACAACCCCGCUCCACCACUUUGUUUUCCUUGUUACUAAUGUUUCAUCUUUUUAAAGAUGUGAUUGUCAGAACACGAAGCAUCUCUCCACGGCUAUCAUCUGUUCCAACUAUAGUUAUUCCCUUCCA